rnacentral:SRP_RNA from 1 species
GGGUAAGCCCUGUACGGCCAGCUCCUUUUUGACUCCCCAGGAUAGGAAUAUAGCAAGGAACGAUUAGUUGAGCGGCGCGAUACAGGUAGCUUACCUUUU